UACGGGGGGGGCAAGCGUUGUUCGGAAUUACUGGGCGUAAAGGGCCAGUAGGCGGCCAACUAAGUCCGACGUGAAAUCCCCAGGCUUAACCUGGGAACUGCGUCGGAUACUGGAUGGCUUGAAUUCGGGAGAGGGAUGCAGAAUUCCAGGUGUAGCGGUGAAAUUCGUAGAUAUUCGGAAGAACACCAGUGGCGAAGGCGGCUCACUGGACCGGCAUUGACGCUGAGGUGCGAAAGCGUGGGGAGCAAACAGG
rnacentral:rRNA from 1 species